GCCUGGGUGGCUCAGUCAGUUGAGCGUCUGACUUCAGCUCAGGUCACAAUCUCACACUUCAUGGGUUCAAGCCCCGCAUCGGGCU
rnacentral:tRNA from 1 species